rnacentral:rRNA from 1 species
UACAGGGGGGGCAAGCGUUGUUCGGAAUUACUGGGCGUAAAGGGCCAGUAGGCGGCCAACUAAGUCACACGUGAAAUCCCUCGGCUUAACCGGGGAACUGCGUCUGAUACUGGAUGGCUUGAGUUCGGGAGAGGGAUGCGGAAUUCCAGGUGUAGCGGUGAAAUGCGUAGAUAUCUGGAGGAACACCGGUGGCGAAGGCGGCAUCCUGGACCGACACUGACGCUGAGGAGCGAAAGCCAGGGGAGCAAACGGG